GUAUGGGACUGUAGGUGGAGGUAUAGAGGUAUGGGACUGUAGGUGGAGGUAUAGAGGUAUGGGACUGUAGGUGGAGGUAAAGAGGUAUGGGACUGUAGGUGGAGCGAGAGAGGUAUGGGACUGUAGGUGGAGGUAUAGAGGUAUGGGACUGUAGGUGGAGGUAUAGAGGUAUGGGACUGUAGGUGGCGGUAUAGAGGUAUGGGACUGUAGGUGGAGGUAUGGGACUGUAGGUGGGGGUAUAGAGGUAUGGGACUGUAGGUGGAGGUAAAGAGGUAUGGGACUGUAGGUGGAGGGAUAGAGGUAUGGGACUGUAGGUGGAGGUAUAGAGGUAUGGGACUGUAGGUGGAGGGAUAGAGGUAUGGGACUGUAGGUGGAGGUAUAAAGGUAUGGGACUGUAGGUGGAGGUAUAGCGGUAUGGGACUGUAGGUGGAGGUAUAGAGGUAUGGGACUGUAGGUGGAGGUAUGGGACUGUAGGUGGAGGUAUAGAGGUAUGGGACUGUAGGUGGAGAGAUAGAGGUAUGGGACUGUAGGUGGAGGUAUAGCGGUAUGGGACUGUAGGUGGAGGUAUAGAGGUAUGGGACUGUAGGUGGAGGUAUAGAGGUAUGGGACUGUAGGUGGAGGUAUAGAGGUAUGGGACUGUAGGUGGAGGUAUAGAGGUAUGGGACUGUAGGUGGAGGUAUAGAGGUAUGGGACUGUAGGUGGAGGUAUAGAGGUAUGGGACUGUAGGUGGAGGUAUAGAGGUAUGGGACUGUAGGUGGAGGUAUGGGACUGUAGGUGGAGGUAUGGGACUGUAGGUGGAGGUAUGGGACUGUAGGUGGAGGUAUGGGACUGUAGGUGGAGGUAUAGAGGUAUGGGACUGUAGGUGGAGGUAUAGAGGUAUGGGACUGUAGGUGGAGGGAUAGAGGUAUGGGACUGUAGGUGGAGGUAUAAAGGUAUGGGACUGUAGGUGGAGGUAUAGCGGUAUGGGACUGUAGGUGGAGGUAUAGAGGUAUGGGACUGUAGGUGGAGGUAUGGGACUGUAGGUGGAGGUAUAGAGGUAUGGGACUGUAGGUGGAGGUAUAGAGGUAUGGGACUGUAGGUGGAGGUAUAGAGGUAUGGGACUGUAGGUGGAGGUAUGGGACUGUAGGUGGAGGUAUAGAGGUAUGGGACUGUAGGUGGAGAGAUAGAGGUAUGGGACUGUAGGUGGAGGUAUAGCGGUAUGGGACUGUAGGUGGAGGUAUAGAGGUAUGGGACUGUAGGUGGAGGUAUAGAGGUAUGGGACUGUAGGUGGAGGUAUAGAGGUACGGGACUGUAGGUGGAGGUAUAGAGGUACGGGACUGUAGGUGGAGGUAUAGAGGUAUGGGACUGUAGGUGGAGGUAUUGAGGUAUGGGACUGUAGGUGGAGGUAUAGAGGUAUGGGACUGUAGGUUUUGAUAUUGAGGUAUGGGACUGCAGGUGGAGGGAUAGAG
rnacentral:lncRNA from 1 species